UGCCGCCGCGCCCCCAUCAGCCUCCAUUGCCCUGACCUUAUUUCCACCUGAUGGUGCCAGAGGCUGCUUCCCAGCUGGUAUCCUGAGAUCCUCGUUCCCUUGGUGGCUUGGUUGUUUAAGCCUCCAUUAUUGAUUGGGGGCGGUGGUCUGGGUGUGAUUCCUGUGGGGGAAACCAGCCCGAGGUGCCUUGGCUCAGGCUUGCCUGCCUGGAGUCCUUGUCGUGUACCCGUCUGUGGCCCUAGAGUCACCUCCUGCUCCUUUUCACUGGGUUUCUCCCCAGACCAAGCCCCUGGAUUUGAGCUUCUGAGCAGCCAACUGAUUUUUUUCAUGAGGGAAAGAAUUUUGCUCCUAGAUUUAUUUCUAAUCCUUUUCUCCGUAACUGACCUUUUCUCUGUAAGCUAUUUGUGGCUCUAGUGGGUUUUUGUUUGCUUGCUUGUUUUUGUUUUAUCUUUGCCCUGAACGUCCAUCCUGGCCUCGGCUGCCUCCCUCCCCGAGUUCUUCACUACACCUCCUGUCUCAGCCUCCCAGAGAGGGUGGCGAGGGUGCUGAUGCCCAGAGACACCAUCCGGCGAAUGGACCUCUCCUGUCAUGCGGGGCAGGGCAGGGCUGCCGGCAGAGCCAUGUCCUGAACCCUCCCUCCUCCCCCCUGCUCUCCUUAAGGGUCUUUCCCAGAUGUGAAGGUCCCUCCCAGGCUCUACUGAGGUCAGACCAAUUCCCAGUGGCUUGGGUACCCUCGUUCACUCCAGCACCAGCCCCUGCCCUCCUUCUUCCCGGGCCAGGCUGCCAGGUGAGCCCCGGGCCAAGGGUGGUUGCCCUGCUGAGGCCGAAAGGACUCGAGCUUCCCAUCUCCUCGCCUCCCCCAGGUCUUUCACCGUCUGGACUCAUCUCUGGGUAACUCAUGGUGUGAGUGGCCACGUGGCUGGCUCAGGUGUUUGGACAGUGAACGCCAG
rnacentral:lncRNA from 1 species